UACGGAGGGUGCAAGCGUUGUCCGGAAUCACUGGGCGUAAAGGGCGCGUAGGCGGCCCCGGUAAGUAGGGGGGUGAAAUCCUGCGGCUUAACCGCAGGGGCUGCCUUCUAAACUGUCGGGCUCGAGCACGGUAGAGGCAGAUGGAAUUCCCGGUGUAGCGGUGGAAUGCGUAGAGAUCGGGGAAGAACAUCAGUGGCGAAGGCGGUCUGCUGGGCCGUUGCUGACGCUGAGGCGCGACAGCGGUGGGGGAGCAAACAGG
rnacentral:rRNA from 1 species